CCUAUCAACUUUCGAUGCCACUUUCUGCACCUACCCUGGUGACCAUGGGUAAUGGGGAAUCAGGGUUCGAUUCCA
rnacentral:rRNA from 1 species